rnacentral:rRNA from 1 species
CAAAGGUAGCAUAAUAAUUAGUUUUUUAAUUGAAAGCUGGUAUGAAUGGUUGGACGAGAAAAUUUCUGUCUCGGAUGUAUUUGAAUAGAAUUUAACUUUUUAGUUAAAAGGCUUAAAUUUUUUUAAAAGACGAGAAGACCCUAUAGAGUUUUAUUUAAUAAUUUUUAUAUUUAUAUAUAGAAUAUGUUUUAAUUAAUUUUUAUUAAAUUUUGUUGGGGUGAUGAAAGGAUUAAUUAAACUCUUUUUGACUAAUAUCACUGAUAAGUGAAUAUAUGAUCCAAAAUUUUUGAUUAAAAGAAUAAAUUACCUUAGGGAUAACAGCGUGAUCUUUUCAAAGAGUUCUAAUCGAAGAAAGGGAUUGCGACCUCGAUGUUGGAUUAAAAUUAAUUGUUGGCGCAAAAGCUAAUAAAUUGAGUCUGUUCGACUUUUAAAAUUUUACAUGAUCUGAGU